AUAGGAAAGACUGUUUUAGAAAAUUUAUUUCUAAACUUGAAGUAUAUGUUACUUAAAUCCCUUUCUUUGUUGGUUGGUCAGUUGCUGCCAAUGUUUCAAAAUGAGAUUAUCCAAGGAAUGAAAUAUCCAGUGGCAGCAAUGAUAUGCCUAAGACAAAAAUCAGAGCAUAUUAAUGUUUCCUUUCAAAAAUCCAGCUUUAAAUUUGCUCAAUAUGAUGACUUGUCACUUUAGGAGGUAUUACCUUUUCCUUACUCUCUACUGAUUCAUGAGGAACUGUUGUUCUAUUUUUAUGACUCCAUAAAUUGAUUUAAAAAAUAUGUAAAGAUACUUAGCAAUAUAGAGCAGUGUUGUCUAAAAGAAAUAUAAUUCAACCACAUAUGCAAUUUUAAAUUUUCUAGUAGUAAUAUGAAAAAAGUAGAAAAAAGAUAUUAACUUUAAUAAUAUAUUUUAUUUAACCCAACAAAAUCUAAGAUGUUAUCAGUAUAUAAUUGAUAUACAAAGGUUCUUUUAAUUUUUAAUUUUUUAUACUUUAUUAUCAAUAAAUUGUUUUAGGCAGGUGAGUUCUUACAUACUCCUUAGUGGAUUCGGACUUCCAUGGCCAUUGUCCUGCUUACAAAGAUUAAUAGCAGAGCUAGUUCAACCAGUCCUCAGCAGCUUGCACCAGGAGAUAAAUCAAUGCACUGCUUCAAGAAAGACUUACAAAAGCAAAAAUGGGUGUGCAGCUUCUUGGCAUUUUGGACAAAGAAUGGGACAACACACACAAACAAAGCAAAGGAAGAAUGAAGCCACAAAAGCAGAGACAUAUUGAAAACAGAAGCACGCUCCAGAGGGUGGGAGUGGCCCAAGCAAGCAGCUCAAGGGCCCGGUUGCAGAAUUUUCUGGGGUUUAAUUACCCUCCAGAGGUUUCCAUUGGUUACUUGCUGUAUGCCAUAUGUAGAUGAAGAGGCUAAAAUGAAGUUACAAAGUCAUUUACUUGGUGUAUGCCCUGUGUAAAAGAAGAGGAUAUUUCCUGUCAUAGCUGAAGUGUUUUUGUUUGAUUUAGUUCUAGGAAGUCCUUAGGUUCUCUGCCUCCAGGCCCUAUUCUCCUGCCUCAUUUCCCCCUUGAAAGUAGUGAUCCCCAUAAAUCUUUAUGGGAGGCAGAGGCAUAGAUGGUCUUCUGUACUGCUUCAUGCUGCCUUGGAGCAUAGUCCCUACCUACUGGGGAUCACAGAACCCUUGCCCUGCUUUGUCUAGUGGAGGCAGGGUAGCUCCUUGAUAACCAGUGGUGGUGUCUUCACCUGGAGCUGGCCGGAACCCUUGUCGCAUGAUCAUCUGAAGAUUUAUUGUCUCUAGGCAAGAGGAAAUGAAUUUGGUUACAAGAUUUAAUGGAAACUUCAGGAGAUAGAUACCUAUGCUGUCAGGAAUGUUUGUUAUAGAGAUUUGCAGGAGAAAAACAAAACUUGGUCUGUUCUAGGUUCUAUGUGUUUCCUUAAAGUCUCAGCAUAAGCGACUCCAUUUUGGUUUGGUUUGGUCUGUUGGGGCCUAGUGCAUGAGCUCAGUCCAAAACAAUGGCCUCUCAUAAUUUUGUUUAAAAAAAUUCUCCCUUUUUGGUCAGGUGCUCACUUAGGUGAGAGUGCAACCAAAACUUAGGGCCUUAGCUCCACUCUCAGUUAUCAUCAUUUUGGGUUUCUGGUCUCAGCAUGUCAUUCAUAGGUUACAGUGUUCUCAUGGUCGCACAUUUCUUUCAGCUCUUGUUAUUCCAGUUGAAUAGAGACCAUUUGACAUUCUAGAGAUGGCUGCAUGCAAACAUUUAAAACCUUUGAGAGAAUACAGCAUGCCAGGGAGCCUAUUAUUAUUACUAUCAGGAUGAGUGUUCCCAUAAACCAAAAUACCUAAAAUCAAAUAGAUCAAAGGGUGACCUAGAUAAAGAGUGUACUCACUUAACUAAAGAGUCUCCGCAUUAAUCCCCUACAACUGAAUUUCUAUAAUCUUCAUUUGAUAUAUUUAUCUGUAGGCCACAAGUGCCAGCAGUUGUACAAAUACUUCUCUGUUCAGCCAAUUCUAUCAUAACUUUCACAAAAUAAUUUAAAGUCUGUUGUGUAACUAUAGCCUUUAUAGUAGAAUCUGGUAUACAGCCUAUCAUGAGGGACACAUUUCUAAUAAUUACUUCUUUUUCUCCAAACUGUGGAGCAUAUACACAGACAUAUUAGAAUUUUAGAAAUCCCAUACAAUUUUGGAACAUAUAUUAAUAUCAUUCACUAAAAUAUAACCUGAAGAUAAUUAAAUAUUAUUUUUUAUUUUGACAGUACUUCCCAUGUAACUAAACAUGUCAAAUAAUCCUAUUUACCUCUCUUUUCAAUGCUUCAGGGGCCCUCUGUAGCACUGCAAAGUUAGAGAUCAGAAAAGUCUAUUUUAAAGCUGAAAUUUGAUUGUGGGAAGCCUAUUAAAUAUGUUAAAGAUUUACAAGAAUUUACAUUCCCAUGACUUCUUAUAAUCUUUUACCAAUCAUUCAACUGGUUUGCUCAGAGAGAGAGGGGCCAGAAGUCCGACUGGUAAGAAUUCUUACCCUAUUGCCGGCAUGUCAGGUUUCUGGGUUCCUGUCCCUUAGCAGCCCUUGCAACUCUGCUCAACUGUAUGCAAACAAACACAUUGCCAUGAAUUAAGAAUAUUCACAAAUAGUUUACAAAUUUUGGAGAAAUUAGGUAGAGAGAGAAAUAUGACUCAAAUUCUUUUUAUGAAAGUAUACUCAACACAUGUAAAGUAUCAGGAAUCCUAAUUUCCAAAAAUUUAGCUUAAGGUUAGAAAGUUGAUGUGCUCCAUCAAUUUCUGCAGGCCUGACAAAAGUAGUCUAGGAAUUCAAGAUAAAUGAAACAAAUAGUGACUUGCUAGAUAUGCAUAGGAAACAAAAUGGCUAUUAAUAGAACUAAAUAAAAGCCUUCCACUGGAAACUAAAAAAAAUUAGGGCUUUAUAUAUAUGCAUAUGUAAGCAAAACUCAGGAUAGUAAACAGCAAACAAAUGAAAAUUAGAAGCACAGACAAACAGGAAACCAACCCUAAAUUUUUUCUACUCAAUCUAUCCUGGAGGCUACAGUGUAACCCAGGGCCCCACAAAACACACAUAAUGAAUAUUUUAUUCCUGAUACACAAUUCAAUAUCCUUAAGUCAACCAAUAUCACCAUACAUCCUGUGCAAUCAAGAAAUUCACUCUAGGCAUAUGCCCAAUAAGUACUCCAGUGCCAGCACUAUCCACGCAAAAUAGUAAACAUAGUGUAAAGCAACGCAAGUAUGUAUGUGAAAUUUGGCUCCACACUAAAUCAGGUUUCAUGUUUAACUAUAUUUAAAAAAUAAUUUCCAAACUGCCAACAAUAUUUCUUAUUUUGCUUUAAUCAAAACUAAGAACUUUAUGAAAAUGUUAAUUAGCCAAAUGUCUCCAAUUCUCUAUCGGGUUUUAAAUAAUAUUUUAUUAUUUAAACUUUUUUUUUCACAUGUUUCUCCCCUCCUUACUGGUUCCUUACUACAUUGUUUCAUAAACAACCUUUGUAAAUUUGUAAUUUGAACUAACUUUUAGAUAACUUCUGAAUUAGACAAAAUUAUUCUUUUUUUUUCACAAAUAAAAGAAUGCUUUCUGGC
rnacentral:lncRNA from 1 species